UGCCAGCAGCCGCGGUAAUACGGGGGAUGCCAGCGUUAUCCGGAAUCAUUGGGCGUAAAGCGCCUGUAGGUUGUUUAUUAAGUCUGUUGUUAAAGCCUAGGGCUUAACCCUAGAGAAGCAGUGGAAACUGGUAGACUAGAGUAUGGCAGGGGUAGAGGGAAUUUCUAGUGUAGCGGUGGAAUGCGGAGAUAUUAGAAAGAAAACCAGCGGCGAAGGCGCUCUACUGGACCAUCACUGACACUCAGAGGCGACAGCUAGGGUAGCAAAAGGGAUUAGAUC
rnacentral:rRNA from 1 species